AGGUGGAAAGACAGCAGCAGAGAAUACGAAAUCUUAUUGAAGAUCAGGUUUUAAAGGUAGAGCAGGAGAGAGGAUUGAUAGAAACAAGAUGGAAGACGGAAGUGGAACAGCUGAGGCAACAAAUCACACAGCAGUGUGGAGAGGUUGGUAGUCUAACUGCUCUAUCAGAGAGGUUAAAGAGGUCAGAGGC